rnacentral:snRNA from 1 species
UGGUUUACACUUAGCGAUC